rnacentral:rRNA from 1 species
GAUGAACGCUGGCGGCGUGCUUAACACAUGCAAGUCGAACGAUUAAAGCCCCUUCGGGGGUGUAUAGAGUGGCGAACGGGUGAGUAACACGUGGGUAACCUGCCCUAUGCUUUGGGAUAACUCAGGGAAACUUGAGCUAAUACCGAAUACUCCGGACUGAUCGCAUGGUCGGUCCGGGAAAGUUCCGGCGGCAUAGGAUGGACCCGCGGCCCAUUAGCUUGUUGGUGAGGUAACGGCUCACCAAGGCGACGAUGGGUAGCCGGGCUGAGAGGCUGUGCGGCCACACUGGGACUGAGACACGGCCCAGACUCCUACGGGAGGCAGCAGUGGGGAAUUUUGCGCAAUGGGCGAAAGACUGACGCAGCAACGCCGCGUGCGGGAUGAAGGCCUUGGGGUUGUAAACCGCUUUCAGCAGGGAUGAAACUGACAGUACCUGCAGAAGAAGCCCCGGCUAACUACGUGCCAGCAGCCGCGGUAACAC